rnacentral:rRNA from 1 species
CCUACGGGAGGCAGCAGUGGGGAAUAUUGCGCAAUGGGCGAAAGUCUGACGCAGUGACGCCGCGUGAGGGAUGAAGGUCUUCGGAUCGUAAACCUCUGUCAGCAGGGAAGAACGGUCACUGUGCUAAUCAGCAGUGAAUUGACGGUACCUGCAAAGGAAGCACCGGCUAACUCCGUGCCAGCAGCCGCGGUAAUACGGAGGGUGCGAGCGUUAAUCGGAAUUACUGGGCGUAAAGCGCUCGUAGGCGGUAUGUCAAGUCAAGGGUGAAAUCCCCGCGCUCAACGUGGGAACUGCCUUUGAAACUGGGGAUCUAGAGUGUGCGAGAGGUAUGCGGAAUGCGUGGUGUAGCGGUGAAAUGCAUAGAUAUCACGCAGAACCCCGAUUGCGAAGGCAGCAUACCGGUGCACAACUGACGCUCAGGCACGAAAGCGUGGGUAUCGAACAGGAUUAGAUACCCGAGUAGUC